rnacentral:sRNA from 1 species
CUAAAGUGCUGGGAUUACAGGUGUGAGCCACUGCGCCUGGCCAGCUAAUUGUCUCUGAGCAUUUCUGAGUGUACCCAUGGGUCCGGCUAUGUCUCCUCCCUGUGUCUGGGUGUCUCCAAGGAUCUGGCUAUACCUCUUUGAGUCUCUAGGCUAUAUCUGAGAGUGUGGCUUAUGCCUGUAAUUCCAGCACUUUGGGAGGCCAAGGCAGAGGAUCGCUUGAACUCAGGAGUUUGAGACCAGCCUGAUUAACACGGUGAAACCCCAUCUCUACCAAAAAUACAAAAAUUAGCCCAGUGUGGUAGCGUGCCAGCUACUCUGCCUGUAGUCCCAGCUACUCAGGAGGCUGAGGUGGGAGGAUCACUUGAGCCUGGGAGUCGCAGUGAGCUGAGAUUGCGCCACUGCACUCCAACCUGGGUGACAGAGCGAGAACCUGUCUCAAAAAAAAGAAAAAAGACAGCAUGGCUGGGCCUCUUCCUUUCCGCAUCUGUCUCAGACGAUCUGUCUGGAUGUCCCCUGCGGGUGUCCCUGUGUCUCCUCUGCGAGUGUCUGGAUCUGUCCAUAUUUGUCUGGGUAUGUUUGAGAGUCGCUGUGUCUUCCCUGAGUAGGUCUGGGUGUGCCUGAUGGCCUAACUGUGUCUUUUUCUGAGGCUUUCUGGUGUAUCCAAAGUUCUGACCGUGUCUCCUGCUGUGCAUCCCAGGGCAUCUGAGGGCGUGACUGGGUCUCCCCGGAGUCUGGGCCUCCCUCCUAGGGCAUGUGGUUAAAUCCUUGCCUCUGCUGCCAGCCGAGUGUGGGAAAGCCUCUUCCCCCCUGCAAAGAGCAUGGUCCCCCCACCUGCAUAGUUUGAGGAGUCCUCCGGGGUCAACUUCCCCAUCUGACCCCCCCAUGGCCCUGUCCCCAGACUGUGAAGCACCCCUGAAGAAGGAGGGUGGCCUCCCGGAAGGGCCGGUCCUCGAGGCUCUACUGUGUGCAGAGACGGGGGAGAAGAAGAUUGAGCUGAAGGAGGAGGAGACCAUUAUGGACUGUCAGAAACAGCAGUUGCUGGAGUUUCCGCAUGAUCUCGAGGUGGAAGACUUGGAGGAUGACAUUCCCAGGAGGAAGAACAGGGCCAAAGGAAAGGCAUAUGGCAUCGGGGGUCUCCGGAAACGCCAGGACACCGCUUCCCUGGAGGACCGAGACAAGCCGUAUGUCUGUGAUAGUGAGUCCUUCUGAAGAGGGGGAAAGGCAGAGAGAGGGGGGCCCAGAGACUCCCCACCUCGUGGCCCUCUCCCUCCUGUUCCAGACCCGGGUUGGGAGGCUGCUCAGGUCUCUGGCUGAGGGGGGAGGUGUGAUCCUGGAGGCCAGGGUGGAGGCGGCAGGGGCCCGGAGGGGCUGACAGGCCCUCCUGGCUCGCUCGCUCCCCAGUCUGUGGGAAACGGUAUAAGAACCGGCCGGGGCUCAGCUACCACUACACCCACACCCACCUGGCCGAGGAGGAGGGGGAGGAGAACGCCGAACGCCACGCCCUGCCCUUCCACCGGAAAAACAACCAUAAACAGUUUUACAAAGAAUUGGCCUGGGUCCCUGAGGCACAAAGGAAACACACAGCCAAGAAGGCGCCCGACGGCACUGUCAUCCCCAACGGCUACUGUGACUUCUGUCUGGGGGGCUCCAAGAAGACGGGGUGUCCCGAGGACCUCAUCUCCUGUGCAGACUGUGGGCGAUCAGGACACCCCUCGUGUUUACAAUUCACGGUGAACAUGACGGCAGCCGUGCGGACCUACCGCUGGCAGUGCAUCGAGUGCAAAUCCUGCAGCCUGUGCGGAACCUCCGAGAACGACGACCAGCUGCUGUUUUGUGAUGACUGCGAUCGGGGUUACCACAUGUACUGCCUGAGUCCCCCCAUGGCGGAGCCCCCGGAAGGGAGCUGGAGCUGUCACCUCUGUCUCCGGCACCUGAAGGAAAAGGCUUCUGCUUACAUCACCCUCACCUAGGCCGGCUCGGCUCGCCGCGACUCUGGGGUGGUGCUCGCCUACCUGCCUCUCCGAGCUCCUCAAUUCUCCCCAACCCUGAACGUCCCGCAGGGGGAGGGGGAGAGGGGGAAGCCGAGAGGGGGCUGGGCCACCCCCUCCCCUCUGUGCAAGUGGAAUGUCUGCCCUGUGGGUGGGUGGGCCCGGCCAGGGCCUCUCCCUCCCUCCCUCCCUCUCUGUCCCUUGGCAAAUGGACACCAGGGGCUUCUCCCCUCAAAGCCAUACCCCGCCUCUGGGCGGGCAUGGGGGGUGGUGGGUGCCAGCCAGGGGCAUGGACAGAGCCUUUUUCUAAAGAAAAAGACAAAAAGUU